GGCUCAAAUGUAACAUAAUCUGAUUACUGAAGGUAACGAAUCCCAUUACAUAUGUUUGGUUGCGGCGGUUUGUAAUCAAUUUACACUGUAAUCUAAUCCCUUACCUAAAUAAUAUAUAUACAAGCUUGUUACCCCUCCUCCCCACUGUAAUCAGAUACAACAUCUACACCGUAAUCUGAUUACGUUACCAGAGUGCAACCAAACAAAGAGGGUAAUCACCCAUUCCACCACUAAAUACACUGUAAUCUGAUCCCCUUUGCGUUUACGUUACCUUAGCGCGAACCAAACACUUAUCGCGAACCAAACACUUAUGAAUUGUUUAGAAGACAGGGUUGAUGGUGUACGCUUGAUGAGCCAUGAUUUCAGGAACCUUGCCUCUCAUUCUCCAUUUGUGGGUAGCUGUUAAACAACCAAGCGGCCUGCUAAAAGUCAGCACAAAUAAAGUGUUGUUCUUCUGGUGAUACAGUGUGUAGGUGCUUAGCUUAGCUGGAUCCCUUUUGCUACUCGAUGCUACGCUUAGCCACAAGUCCUCUGAAUCAAUCAACAACCACGAGGAAAUGGAUUGUUGCUUUCAUUACACAACAAGGAACCUAGGCCAUGUUUAGUUACUCCCAACUCCCAACUUUGACACUAUGCAAAAAGAAGAUUCCCCAUCACAUCAAACUUGCGGUACAUGCAUGGAGUACUAAAUGUAGAUGAAAUUAAAAACUAAUUGCACAGUUUUGUUGUACUUUGCGAGACGAAUCUUUUGAGCCUAAUUAGUCAAUAUUUGGACAAUAAUUCACAAAUACAAACGAAACGCUACAGUGUGCUACAGUGCUGUAACAGUAAUUUGGCACCUCCCAAAUUCCCCAACUAAACACGGCCCUAAUCUAAACAGAGCAAGAAUCCUAACCCUAAUGUUUCCUUAUUUUCGAAACAAGGACCAGAGAAGGACCUUUUCAGUCAGUAGCAUCUGCACGCUUCCUCCAGUGGGCCCCACUCGCACCUUACAAUCUCUUGGACCUGCUUUGUCUUUCAUCCUGUGUUAGUGUUCAGUUUCAGACCCCAAGGGAUCAGCUACUGCAAUGCUAGGAUGCUGAACUACUCCAAACUUUGAAAAAGGCUCGAGUACUUGUUUAGGAGCUUUUUUUGCUUCACUGCAACUCCACCGUCAAAUUCUACGUACUAAAGCCGUCUAUAGAUCAGCAGCUAGCAUUACAGCGUGAUAGUGGAUUAAUUAAUUCUUCACCUUCAUCCAUGUACUGGUAAUGGGCGGUAACACUGUAACAUUGUCUAGACAGUCUGAGGGGGGUGGCCAUUUCAAAACUUUAUUAACAAAAUAUGCAUUCUUUGAAACAAACGAGGCUCCUAUCAUGCAUGCGCCUUACUUUCUAGAAGCAAUCAAACAAAGUGGACUAUCAUGAGUGAUUCCUUCUUGCCAUCUUCUUCUUCCAUAUAAGUACUGCACUAUUCCAUGUCCAGUAGUGAAGCUUGUCGGAGGGUAAAUGCCUUCGCUCUUGUAAUUAAUCCCAGCUACACAUGAUAAUUAACAAGACAAUUGCAUUGUUAACAAAGGCAAGUUGAGGGCUGCAGGCUGCUCAUGCCGUUCUUGGCUUAUUGCCUCUACUUUAGCUUUGGAGAUUCUGAUUUCUGACCAUCAAGAGUCCAAGAGACUGCAAAAGGAUGGGAGAAGAAGCACCAAAAGAAGAACACGAGCACGCGUAGCAGCAGCAUUUUUGUUUCGAAAAGAAUUUUAUUUUUUUGUUUGGUUGGCGAUAGAUACCCGUUUGACUGGGCAGUUCUUGUCGGGAGCCGGCCCUGCGGGCCGCACCCGCCGCACUCUUCGUACACCAGCAAGCUGACAAGUGGGGCCCGGUUUGCACCUGUCCCCAUCAGCCAGUGAGACACAUCAUGCGCAGACCCGCCCGGGCAUGGCCGCACGGGGGACGAAAGACUCAGCGGCAGCAAAGCCCUCGAGACCAGGGCCAAAGGAAGCUGACCGGCGAGGCCCCGGUCGCUGGCUCGUGGGCCCGUAGGCCGCGCGGUUCCCGCACGCCCCGGGACACGUGCCCCGCGGCGGCCUCGUGCGGGGAGCCACACGACACAGGGAGGCGCACAGCCGCAGCGGCCGCAGCACCUCCACGCCCAUCCCCCACCCACACAGGCCAUUGAAGCAAGCGAAAGCAAACCGGGAAGCGUGGGUGGGAGACCUGACCUCACCUCACAGGCUCACAGCAGAAGCGGAGACGUUUGCUCAUCAGCAGAGAGAGAGAGAGAGAGAGAGAGAGAGAGAGAGGAUAAGCCCAAGAAGGGACGCGAGAGAGGACGAAGCCUUGGAGGACCUCAGAGGUGAGCACUCCCGCCAUGCGGUUUCCGCCGUUGAUUCUUCCAGUUCUUCCCGUUGCAGAAAUGCAUCUACUUGGCGCUGCUUGCACCGUCGAUUUGUGGCCGGAGAGGCUGAGAGGGGCUUCGAUUUUGUUUGGUUUUGGUAGCGUGGUGUGCUAGGGAAACGGCGAAGAGCAGUAGGGAGACGAAUGGGAAGAUUGGCUUGGGGUGUGCUCGUUUGAAAGACCAGCAAAGGCGUCUUCUUUCGCAUCCUUGCUUUUGUUCACCCCUUUCUAGCGUUGUUUGUCUAAAUACUUUCAUAUUCGGAUUGUUUUUCCUGUUCAAGUCGGUCCAUCUCUCUCUCUCUCUCUCUCUCUCUCUCUCUCUCUCUCUCUCUGUUCUGUUCUUGCUGGCCACAAACGGCUGAAACAAGCAAGUGGAGUAGGAUUCCUUCUCGGCAACUGAAACCAUUGCUAAUCAAGUCUCUCUUAGUACUGUUGGUACAGUAGAAAUAACAAUGCUUUAAUCCGCAUACAAUCCGUUAGCGUUACAAGGCAUGCAGAUAACGCCUCUUUCUUAGUACUGUUCGUACAGGGUUAAUGCUUUUUACUCCACAAAAGAUGCGUUGCAGGAAACGCAUACAGUUCUCAGUUCUUCGAAAUGUUUCAUCUCUUAACCCUUCCCCUGUGCACCUCUCUGGUAUUGCAUCACAUUGUCUGCAGCAGCCGGUGUUCUCCCCAUCUGCAGUCAGCUCCUCCAGUUGUUCUUGUCCAUCCAUAUGAAUGCGUCUCUCCACUCCACAACCACACAAACGUGAGAGCAGGCACAGUUCAGGAUCUAUCAUAAAAUAUCCACCUCUAUAACUGUUCGAGUAUUCGCCGGAUUUUCGAGCACAGAGCGCUGCUCUCUGGGCAGGUUCUGGGUUUGAUCAAGGAAGAAGUGGGAUUACGACGGGCUGCUUGUGGCACCCCGGAGUUUGAGUGUUCUCACUUUCUAUUAUGUCAAGUGUUUUAUGUGUGUCAUUGGUUUUCAUGUAAUAUCGAACUUUAUGUAAAACCCGCAUUCUCCUUCUUCCUUAAACGAUAUAGCAGCGCUCCUGCUCCAUUUCAAAAAAAAUAACUGUUCGAGUUUUUUUUAACACAGUAAUUCUGCGAGUUACUGCGCCUCGUACUUUUGAAUUUUUGACCCCUCUUUUUGUUACUUUGUGCCACGCUAUUGCUCCACUCCAUGUAAGGCUGCCAUUCUUGUUCUCCUCCUGGUGAGAAUCCCCCUUUUGGCCCUCACUGAUGUAUUUGCUGGGCUGCUUGAAUCAAGGGUAGUUUGGUAUAUUUGCAAUAUUUUAAGGUUUGUUGUGGAAGUGGGUUCCUGCUCUUUGCUGGAUUCCCUCCACCAGAGACCUUGGAUUGGGGUCCUUGUGUUCAACUUGGUGGCACUGUUACCUCUGCCUGAGGCUGUAGGGUGUGGACCUAGCGCAUUUUUUAAUUUGAUGUGAAGGGGUGCAGAGGUGGAUAUAAAUCACCACCUCCAUUUCCUUUUCACCUAUUUUGGAUAGUGAAGUUUUCAGGUUACUUUUGAAAACAAAGAUUUCAGCUCAUUGAAUUAUAUGCCAUUGAACGCUGUGUUUUUUUAAAAAAAAAAUGUUAAGUUCAUGUUUUGAGUUGAUGCAGCCUAUAUGCAAUUUUUUACUCACUUAUCAGUACUCUUGCAGGAUUCCAGUGCAGAAGGAUUUGGUGAGGAAUCUCAUCAUGCAGACUUCAAAAACAAGGUUAGCUCUAGAUGCACUGGAACUUUCUUGGGUUAUUUAUUUCUCUGUUUUGUGUUUGCCCAAGAACAACUGCAGUUCUGCACAUGCAUGUGCAUUUCCGGGUGGCCCUGUUUACGACCGCAGUAGACAGUGAGCAUCCAAGGAUUAAUACCUGGUUUGUAUUCAAUGGAUCUAUUUGCACUGGGGCCAAUGCAGUCUAUGCAGACAAUUUUAUUGUUAGGGGCAAUACAGGUCAAAAUACUAGUACACCAUUGCUUUAUUCCUGUUGCUAACCCAAUCAGCAUUUUGCAACUGUGCCACUUUUAGUAUUUGAAAAUAAUUUACCAAAUUUAAUUUUAAUCUCAUAUCGCCUAGACCCACCUUGUUCUUUACCUUGCUUCAGUGAAGCCAUGGAGGUAGGUUAUACUUGAAUUUGAGGGUGACAUGCUACCGUUGUAGGUUAUGAUAGGGUCUUAGGUACCAUUUUGCUUAAGAGUUAGCAUUACUGCACUACCAAGCUAGCAGAUUUGUUGAAUGUACUGUUUAGUACUUCAUUGCAUUUAUGUUACAUUGGGCCUUGUAUACUACCAUGCAAACAAGUGAAUUAAUGGUCAUCCCUCUGCACAAAUACUACAGUAUCUUUUUUCUUCAAAAUGUGAUCUAUGCAAACUCUGUAUUGAAAUAUAGAUAUAUAAGAGGCAUCCAUCUUUUCAUUUGUAUUCUGUCGUAGUGUCGUACAACUGUUUAAUUAGUUCUUUAGGCACAAAAGCGCAUGCUUCUCACUAACUCACUCUCCGCAACAUUAGGUCUUCUGCAGCAAUCACUUUUUUUAUCCUGUCAUUGCAUCUGCGUGUGGAUUUACUGAUAUAAACCGUCUUAUUAAGAGUCAAACAGUAUAGCUUCUGUACACUUGCAGUUUGACAAAAAAAGGGGGUUAAAAUGGCGUCUUGUCAUUCUCAGUAUACAUUGUUUAUUUCCUGAAUGGACUGUUCCUUUAGUACAUACUGUACAUUAAGGGCCUGCAACAGAGUUUAAUGUUUAUUUAUUUGAAUUUGGUUAGUCUAUGGACCCAUUGAGGUUAGGGAUGCUCACAUUCUAAAUUCCAAGAUAAGUUAAAGGACCUGGUGAAUCUGAAGGUGCUUAGUUGGAGCUGGACUUUGGUACUAGAUAUUUCCUUGUGGUGGGAAGUUACCAUUUACAUAACAGAAAAACUGAAGGACUUGUGUAUAUAAGUGUAGAUACUAGGAUCAUGGAUAUUUUGAUGUUUACAUGACUCCCUGGAGCCAGACUUCUUCCACAUGCAAUCAACUUGAUAAAAGCUGUUGGCUUCUUUCUCAUUGCUUGUAAAGUAUUUUACCCUAUUUUUGGUUGUUAAUUUCUUUAGAUGCUCCUUUGAUCAUGACUUGAUGCUAGGUAUUUGCAUUUGAGCUCUGCAGGAAUGGGCCUUCAGAUGCCCCGCAGAGGACUUCUCCAAGGACACCACGGGCAUCUCGUGUGGCCAAAACUGGAGGGAAUGAAACUGAUUCUGCAGGAGUUACCCCGACAAGAACACCUACAGACAGGAGUCCUAAGGUCACUGAGCAGCGGUCUCCACGAAGCCCAAUUACUGAGGUAGUGAUAUGUCUUGCAGCCAGCAAAUUGUCUUCACUAUUUUUUAACAUUACCAUUCUAUUUACUUUCAGCAAAUGACUGUAUUGUGAUCGAUUAUUUCUACUUUUGUAUAUAGUUCAUCAUAGAAACUACAAGUAUGCUUCAUUUUGAAUUAUUCAGUCACAUAAUUUGUUCUGUUUCAGAAGAAGCGCCCAAGUAGGCUAUCUGAACUGGAAUCCAAGGUCAGCCAGCUGCAAGAUGAACUGAAGAAGGCCAAGGAGCAGCUUAGCUCAUCGGAGGCACGAAGGCGCCACACACAGCAGGAGGCUGAGGAAGCAAAAAAGCAAGAGCAGGCUGCAACCUCGAAGCUGGAGGACUUGCAGCGCCAGCUUGACGAGUACUCAACAGCAGAGGAAUCCCGUCUCCAGGAGCUGCGCAAGAUCUCACAGGAGCGUGACCGUGCCUGGGAGUCAGAGCUCGAGGCUGUGCAGAAGCAGCAGUCAGUAGAUGCCACUGCACUCAACUCGGCCAUGUCUGAGAUUCAGAGGCUUAAGCAGCAGCUGGAAGCCACAUCAGAGUCUGACGCAGCCCGUGCUAAGCAAUGCGAGUAUGCAGAAGCUGAGAUCGAGGGCCUAAAGCAGGAGAUGGAGAUCCGCCUGGCGACCAUCGAGGGUCUGAAGGUAAAUGUUGGUGAGAGUGACAAGGCUGCAGCUGAGGCGAAUGCCGUGGCAACUGAGGCCAAGCAGCAGCUGGAGACAGCAAGAACCACCAUUGACUCGCUCAUAGCUGAGGGUGUCCGAAUGCAAGAGUGCCUGAGGUCAAAGGACAUGGAGCUCAAUGAGUCCAAGGCUCACAUAGUGUUGCUAGAGGAAGAUCUGAAGAAGGCACAGGAAAUGGCCAAUACCGAAGUCAGCUUUGGCGACCCUGAGCCUGAAGCCCUGAAGAAGGUGGUGACUGGUGAUGGCAAUGGGUUCUGUGACAGUUCUGACCAGGAGAUUGAGCACUUGCGGACUGCGCUUGAGGUGGCUGAGAUAAGGUACCAGGAGGAGCAAACUCGGAUGACUAUUGAGACGAAGACAGCAUAUGAGAUGUUGGAGAAUAUGAAGGCUGAGUACACGCGCAGAGUGGGCGAGCUUGAGCUUGAGCUGAAGAACAAGAACGACGCACUCAUGGAAGCAACGGCCACAGCCUGUGCUGCGGGCAAAGUGCAGCAGGACCCUCAUAAAUCAGAUGCCAUGCAGCCUGAGCUGGAGGCCAAGCUGAUGAGGUCGAUCACGGACAUUGCUGAGUUGAAGGCAAGCCUGAUGGACAAGGAGAACGCGCUGCAGAGCCUGGCGGAGGAGAAUGAGACCCUCAAGACUCAGGCUGGCAGGACAGAGGCCGAGCUGCAGCAGAAGUAUGAGGUGGCGGUGGCGGAGCUGGAGCUGGCCAAGGCUGCAGAGCAGGACGUGCGGAUGCGGCUGGGCCUGGUCACCGAGGAGGCCGACAAGAGCAGCCGGCGUGCGGCCCGGGCCUCCGAGCAGCUGGACGCCGCGCAGGCCGCGAGUGGGGAGAUGGAGGCGGAGCUACGCCGGCUGCGCGUGCAAUCCGACCAAUGGCGCAAGGCUGCCGAGGCUGCCGCGGCCGCUCUGUCCGUCCCUUGCGGCGGGGAUAACAACGGCGUCGGGAGGACAGUGGAGCGCAUGGGGUCACUGGAGCCAGAGUACAACAACUCCAUCGGCGGGAAGCUGAUGAGCUCGCCGUUCUCAGACGAGGUGGAUGAGGGGUCCCCGAAGCGGCGCAACAGCGGCAGCGUGCUGCGCAGGAUGAGCGGGCUCUGGAAGAAGAGCCCCAAGUGAGAUGGAUCGAUCAACCAACUGGCAGCCGGCCAGGUCUUGUAGUGUAGUUGCAGGUGCGGCAGCAGCAGGAGGAAGCAUCAAUAUGAGAUGUUACAGCAACCAGGAUGGGGGUAAUACUGAUCAGCAGAGGUUGUUGUCAACGCUGCUUUGUAAUGCUACAAAUCCGGAUGCUGUAAGAGUAGAAGUAACCAGUAAGCUGAUGAAUGCAGCAGGGAUGAUAAUGCUUUUGCAGAACAUGAUUACUCUAGCUUUGUAGGACAUGUUCAUCUUGUUUGGCUGAUGCAAGUGAGAACUCGAAAGAACCUGUUGAGUUGUCGAGGAGCAGCUGCUUUGGGCUGCCUAUUCUGUAGUGCUUUCCUACGAUUUUCAGCCAGAAUCUUUGGAUGCCUUUGCUUGUUGAUGCACCGUUCCGUUUUCAUGUGCCGCUGAUUAGGCGGUUCAGCAAUUAAUCUGCUUUUUUUUGGAGAGGAAUGAAUGGACUUCUGGUUUUUUUUUUGUAGACGGACUUCUGCUAGAGCGACGAUCUGCCCAACGCAAACAGACCAUCUAACUUUUUCCUUCCUGGCCCGUCAGCUCACCGUUUCAGGGCCGUUCCGUAGCCCAGCAAAAGUUUGGGCCUUAGCUGGCCCAGUUGAAAAAGUUACAAAACGGAGUGGGGAGUGGGGGAUUAAAACUGACGGCGUCAUCAGCUGUAAGAACAUCUAGCACGAUUGAUUCAUCCAUGGCACAAGCCAACAUUGCACCGCAUGUCUCUCUUGCAUCUCUUUUACAUUAUCAGGAGCCAGGAGUGGUACACUACAAAUCCACAUCUGAAAUAAGACGACCAGACUUAAAUUUGGCUAGCUGCAAGUACAUCCACCUAAGCUACUAUCCCAAAUCCAUGGGGCACAACGCAACAAAUGGAUCGGGUCACCAGGGGACAAGAGCAGCAGCAGCUAAUACUACUACUAUAUACUACUACUUCUCUAUUUUUUCUACUAUAAAAAAAACAAAACCAAGACUAAUUUUUCGUACGUCAUUUCUUCCGUGAUCCCAUCAUCCCGCGCUAUAUUCAAUUUCCUCCGUCCGUUGCUCAUGCGCCGAUCUGCGCCCUUCGUCCUAAUCUGUUUCGCGAACCCCGCUAGCCCCCGAGUCCAAUUGCCUCCUUCCUUCCGCCGCCACCCCCCGAGGCCUCCUGCCUCCUCCCUUCAGCCACCCCGCGAGAGCCUCGGGCCGCACCGCCGCCGCCACAAGCGCUGCACCGCCGCCGCGGCACCCGCCUCCUUCGCCGCCCCUUUCGCGUCGCUCGAGGAUCCUGCACGCCGCCGCUGCACCACCGCACGCCACCUACCCUCCGCGCGGAGGAGGCGGCGGCGGCGGAUCUGUCCCGCUCCCACCCAUCCCAGAAACAGAUCGUCCUGCGCGUCCCUCGCCCUCGACCUCCCAGGCCACUGCGUGCCCUCGCCCAGGCGCUCCUAGAUGAGGAGGAGGAUGGCUACCACGGGGACCCGGUUCCGCCACCGCCGACGCUUCCUCAGCCGCUGCUGCCGGCCCUGUUGCCGCAGGAGGCCUCGCCGAUGGACGCGGAUGGACCCAUGGAGGAGAAGGAUUGCUUCAUCCUUAGCCAGGAUUUCUUUGGGUCGGUUCCGAUUCGAGCUCUGUGUUGGUCUUCUGACAGUAUGGUUUCAGUCUACAUCACGCCGGAGAUGACGCAGGUGGCCAACGAAUUCGAUGACGAUAAGGUGGGUAAGAUGAGAUUUUUCUCUUAUUGAGUGUGUGUUAGUGCAGUAACAUUGUGCUGUCCUGACUGCUCAUCUGCAUUCCUCGCUAACAAUUUUACUGGUUUUGUGAAGGAGAACAUCCCUUUUCUUUCAGCUGCAUUCGUGAGGAAGGUUGUAACUUGUAACAUCGGUGUCAUGUGUUUCCAGGUUCUCGUGAGAACAUAGUUUGAUACUUCACAUCUUGUUUUGAGAACGAGCAACUUUGUAUUCAAAUGGAACUAUGUGAUUGUUGUCUAUCUGUGAAUCUAAACCAGCCACUGAAGCAUUGGGAAGCCUUGGAACUUCUGUAUCAGGUUUGAGACUUUUAGUUACGAAGCCGUCGUUUACCAAUUUUAUUUCUUCUUGAUCACUUAUCAAAUGAAUACAUUCAUCUUUACUUCCUUCAUAUCUAAUCUAAGCCACCUACCUAUUUAAUAUUUGACUGUAAAAAGAUUACUUUAUUGUAGUAUGAAUUUAGAUACUGCAUUGACCUCCGUUAGAAAGGAUUGGUGUACUUGUUUCACCAAAUAUGGGCUGUAAUUGGCCACCCACAAUUUCUGAAAGAACAAGUCAACAAAAAAACUUGCCAAAACAGGAGGAGCGAUCAUUUCAAGAACCAUGAUCUUUAGUACUUUAUGUUAAAGUUUAUUAUUUAGUUCUACCUUUAUUGAUGAUACGGUACUUGGUUAAUUCUUUUGUCUGAAGUCUGAACUGCCUGACCUGUCCUACUUUUAUAAAUAUAAGUGGGGCAUAAUGCUCUUGCUGCCUUGUCGGUACCUUUUGCCUAUGCAAGGAAUGUGAGAGCAAGGUGAGCUUCUACCCUCUCUGUAAGAUACUUCCCAUGGAGAUAUAUAUGUAGGAUAUAAUUUAUAUACAAAUAUGACUAUCUUACUGGGUAUUUCUAUGUUAACACAUUAAUCUAUAAUUGUAGAACCUAUGUCAAAUUACAAGUCUGCAAUGAGUUAUAAGCUGUUCUCUUCUAGCCCAUUUACUUUUAAACCUUUGAGAAUUGGACAAUGUUUCGGAUUGCCACACAUUUUUUAACAUCAUGAACUGUAAUUGAAAUUAUCUACAAAGUUAGCUUCUUCCGAUAAGAUAAAAUGUUGUGGUAUUGGCUAUACGCAUCUUUACUAAAUAACUUGCGAUUCAUUGGUUUUCUUUGCAGGAUUUAAGGCUUGGAAACUUUUUUUUUUGCAAAACUGAAGCAUAAAAGCAAGCACAUUUGGCAGGAAAAAAUAAUUAAGAAAGAUUUCUUUUGUACAAAUUCAGUUUUAAUAUUAUGUCUGAGUAGAUAAUUUCCUCCUGAAACGGAAUCCUUUAGGUCCUGCUCCGGUGCAUCCAUCAAAAUUACCAGUGUCCAUCUUACCUAUUAGAGAAUGCUUGCAGAUGAACUGAUUUUGGUACUUGAUUCAUCUACACUUUAUUUCUUUUCCAUGUUAAUAGCAUCUGAAAUAUUUUCCUUUCAUUGGCAAACUAUACUACUUUUCUAAAAGCAUACCUUACUCAUUGAAAUAACAUGGAUCAACUUAUUGCAGAUCUAUUGAGGGGGAUUUGGAGAUGUUGUCUCAAGCAAAAAAGAAGGAAGUGAGAAGUUGCUUGGACAAAUUGUGCCUACAUUUUGUUUGCUUUCAGGUUUAAAUUUCUGAUCCAUAGUAUGGUGGUAACAUGUAGAUCAUUACCAUGUAGACAUAGUUAACUCUGCAUCAGGAGCUUACACCUAAAGUUGUUUGUAAUUAUUAGAUGUAGUUAACUCUGCAUCUCCACAUCACUGUUUCCGCCUAAAGUUUACAAGGAAGCUUGCCACCUAAACCAUCAUUUCUAUGUCGAGUUGCCGGCUGUCAUGAGAUUUCUGUUGCAUGUAUCCUUCUAAACCAAUCAGGACUGUUAUCCGAAAAAUUCUCAUUUUGAUGUUCUGAAUCAUCUUAUGGUGGAAAAGGUAUUGCAAGAUGGUCAUUUCUCUGCUUAUCUUGUUCCAGUCUAUGCUCGUAGCUGAAGUAAGAAAUUGGACUGAAUUUAACUUGCUUCAUAUUGUACUGGCUCUAAGUAAAAAAAGGUUUGGUUGUUUAACUCAGUCUAUCAGAUAGGUUAUCCUUGGCAUAUUGGGUGGUAAACAUUUGUCCUGGUGGAGGUAAUGUUUAGAAUUUUGUGAGCACCUAAUCGGUGGCUAAACCAAAGAAAGCUGUAUUUCCUAUAUUGAUAUGAUAAUGUCAGGGAAGCUAAUCCCAGUGCUCUGCUCAAAUAGCUCAAGGAAAGCUGAUCCCACCGCUUAUAAUCCUCUAUUUUCAUUUGGGUGUUAUAAAACCUGUUUUGUGUCAUUAUGUCUUAAUAUAGUGCCCAUCCAAUACCUGUUGCUCUGGGUUACCCACAUCUUGGUUAUUUCAUUUAUUGGCAUAACAGUCAUUUGAUAAAUUGGAUCAAUAAUUUUUAGAACUGAUCUGGAAAUAGUUGGGAUCCACACGGUGGCAGAGGUGAUGGAGAAGGUCACUGGCGAGGUCGCCGACGCAUUCCCUAUCAAUGAAAAUCUCAAGGAGGCUACCGACGCCUCGAAGAUUAAGGCGGUCACCGAUGUGAUGGAGGAAGAUGCUGAGAAAGCCAAGGCUCUGAUCCAGAAGGUUAGUUUAAUUUCGCAGUACGUUAGGCUUCGAUUGCGUACAGCAGCCUGCUGAUGUUGCUAUUACUUAAAGCUCAUGGUACAGCCUUGCAAGUUAUUACCACCUGUUGUUCUUUGCCGUCAGUAGUUGGAGAUACGUGCUGAUCUGUAGGUUGUAGGCCCCGUUUUCUUCCACUGACUUAUUUUUAGCACCCGUCACAUCGAAUGUUUAGAUACUAAUUAGGAGUAUUAAACGUAGACUAUUUAUAAAACCCAUUAGACUCGUGAAGGAAGUGGAAGAUACAAUAAGCUCAUUUUGUUAUUGCAUUUUAGUAUUGCCCUGAAAAAUCAGACCUUUCUUAGGUAGAGAUAGCAUCACAUUUAGGUUGAAACAUAGCGUCAUAUUUAAUUAGUCACUCUGAAAUAUAAAUUAGCAUGAUAAGUAGCUAGGUGUGAGAUCAUAAUUUUAUUGAAACCAUUGAUAUUAUUUGAUCAUGUAGGUAAGAAAAUGAAUUGCCAUUUCCUUUUAUAAAUAAAAAAGUUCUAGGACUUGUAUGAAAACUAAAAUAAGUAUAUAAUCUGUUUUGUGCCAUCCAAUUACCAAUAUCGGUAGCAUAUUGUACUUGUUCAUUGAUAGGUUUUAAUGAAGGUCUGUAGUAAUAUGAUGAGGCCUCGUAUCCUAACCUGUGAUUUUAUAUUGACAUCAUUUUCUUUUCUUUGAACUGUUGCAUUAUUGACUGGUUGGAUGGAUGGUCAGUUGCCAGUGUGAGGGAUGGUGGUCGUGCUGAUGGAGACGAUGAUGGGAAGUGGCAGCAAAGGAGGUUGCCGCUAGCUGCUAGCAGCACGCCAGUAUGGAGCUUACUCUGCCAGCGUCUGGGUGGUGGAAGUAGGAUGAUAAUUGUGCGACAGAAAGAUUACAUGAAACUGGCAACGGAAAGAAUCUGUUACCAAUUGUUCAAAUAGCUAGGUAGGCAUUGUAUUUUUUGACAAUUAUUUGUACUUAUGUUUAAAACAAAGUGCCGGCAAUGGAAAGAAUCUGUUACCAAGUGUUCAAAUAGCUAGGUAGGCAUUCUAUUUUUUGACAAUUAUUUGUACUUUUGUUUAAAACAAAGUGAAUGCUUCUAUUAUACAUGUUGUUACAAAAUAUUAUACAAUGAAAAUUAAUGUUCAUGGAAAGGAUUUAUUUCGCCCGUAGCAACGCACGGCAUGAUCCUAGUACUAUACAAAGGCUACAGGUUGCGUACAUGUCACACCUGUUUAAAAACAAAAUCAAAUGCUAACUAUAUUAUAUGUAUGUCAGGAUAGUUUCAUACAUACAGUGGCAUCAUAAGUGAAUAACAGUAACAAUAUCACGUAAAAAGAAGUUUAUUAGAGGUAUAUCUUAUUUCUGAAAAUGAAGACUCUAAACUUCACAGACAAUCGACUGGAAGUUGCGUACACCUAGCAUCAUCUUCAGCAAACUUCACAACCACUUCUUCAGAGCACAUGCCGUACUCAGCAAGCGUGAGAAAAAUAUGAAAGUAAAGGUUUAAACAAGAAAAGGCUGAUUGGUUGACUGCAUUAAGCAUUUUUAGUUGGUCAACUAAGAUAUAAGUUUAUACCAACCUACAAUUAACAUAACCAUAACCACAAUUUAAGUCCAUCUUCAAGUAUAUUAAUCAUGUGAGGUUCCAGGCCGCUCUUGAUCAUGAGCACGGUUGAUCGAUGAGUUUUAGACACUUUACAGAGAUUGUACAUCUUUACAUUUCAUGGAAUACGAUUCACUUUCAAGAUGCCUUGAUGGUGAAAUGGUAGACACGCGAGACUCAAAAUCUCGCGUUGUACAUCUUUACUCACAAGUCGCGAAGACUUUAAACCCAACCAUAUUGUGCGGACCAGGCACUUAUCGCACUACCAAGGUGUGACUACAUAGGAACACUACGAGACCUUUACAAAGAUUCCCUAAUAAGUAGUAUAGGAACACUAUGAGACCUUUGCAAAGAUUUCCUAACAAGUGGUAACCCGCUAAGGUUUCAGGUCGAAGCAGAGCAUAAACCUCUUUCAAGACUACGAAGCUACCAUAGAGCAGAUCGGACCAAGGGCCGGGUUAUACCCAUCAACGCCUCCCCUCUUGCCCUUUCAGAGAUUACCCCAAAACUAAUUAAUUAGCCAAGACUAGAACCACUAGAUAUUACCCCAAAGCUAAUUAAUUAGCCAAGACUAGAACCACUAGAACCCAGUAGUUCUUGUGGUUGCACUGUUUCCCCGAGUGGUCGCUCCAUGUAUUCCAAUUAAUACGGAGUAUUCUUGUAAUUAACUAGAGGUAUAGCAUAUAAGUAAAUCAAGCUCAUCAUUAUUCAUUAAUUAGAAUCACCAUACCAUCAUUAUUCAUUAAUUAGAAUCACCAUACCCAAAUAUAGUAGCUAAACAUAGCUACCUAACAGAAAGAUAAACCCAUAUUGAUAAGAAAAUGAUUAUAAAAAUUAGACAAAUCUUAAUAGGACCUAUCAAAUUAAAUGCAAGCAUAUGCAACAAUGAUUAAAUAAAUUGUUGGAAUAAAAGCACAAGAACACACUUGCCUUUAUCCAAAGAAUAGCUGCUCAGAUUAUCUUCAGAUUAUCUUCAACUCUUGAUCUUCAAAACACUUGAACGGCGUUCCUUUUGCUCGUAGCAAUCACCAAGCACAAGUAUACAAAGCAAAUAAACAAUCACAACCAAGAACAGUACACCAACUGUAAGAAAGUAUUAAAAAAGUUUUAAAAGAGCGUACUAAAGGAUAUGUUCGAUUCUAUUCGAUUCUAUGGUCACGUAAAUGCAAGAAAUGUUGGGAACGAAACAAUGGUCGAAAGAACAAAGCUAUAAAUAGGUUUUAUAAUUGAAUUAUAAAAGAAAGAGAGAAGCCUACAUACUUCAUAUAUUUUAAUAAAGAAAACAAUGUAAGGAUAUUUUAGAGAAACAAAGCAAGUUAUAUUUAUAUAUAUGAAAGACGAGGUAGAACUUAGUCAAAUUUUAUUUAUAAAUAUUUAAGUACAAUUUACACAAAUUAAACAUUUAAUUUAAAAAUAAAGUGCAUAUCAACGUCUAAGCGUAUAACUUUAUAUUUCGAGUUCAACUAAGCAAAUUAUAUUUAAACACAUUUAUAUUUACUUUAGUCAAAUUAACAUAUAGUAAAGAAAAUCCAAGAUAUAACCUAUGUAGUUUUUAUUUAUAAACAAAUUAAAUAAACACUAAUCAGAUUUAGUAGUUUACUCCUGAACAACCGUGGUGUACGACUUAAUUAAAUUUUAUUAAUAAAAAUUAGUUCUAUAGGUAUUAAUCAAAUUAACACUUAAUUAUGAAAGCGAGGUAAAAAUUUAAAUAGUUUUUAAUUAGGAAACUAAGUGUACAAACAAUUAAUCAUCUAAUAUUUUAAAUAAAUUUCAGAAAAACAGAACAUGGUUAACAUUGCUUCUAACACGUGUAGUUUAAGUUGGUACGAACACGUUGUUUACGUUGGUACGAAUCCAACGCUGCUGGUAUGAAUCUGGUAUGAAUCUAACGCAACACAACAGGAACGAGAUUAAACGGAGCUAAAACGUGAAAUCUAUGGUUAACCAAGAUUGCAGGGUCUAAUCAUGAUUAACCGAAGGUGACGAGCCAGCAAGGAAGUUUUACAAGGCACUAUAAAUAGUGCUCGCAAAAUUGAUAAGGCUCACGGUUACAACAACGAAGUUUUACAAGACAAUGCUCGGAUAAGGCUCACGGUUACAACAACGAAGUUUUACAAGACAAUGCUCGCAAAAUUGAUAAGGCUCAGGGUUAGAUCUACUAAAGAUCACGGCUUGGAUUACUUUGCAAAGAAUCUUAAGCUUCCAAGGGUUAUCAAAAGAUUUGCCAAGACACAAAGAAGAAACUAAGGAUACAGAAUAGACCGGGGGUCUAUCUGCAAAAGCUCAAAGCUGGGCGGCUAUGGCGGAUGGGAGUUCUGGGCUUUCCAAUCGCCGGCGGUCUGGGGCCUGGGGAUUCUGGCGGGUGGCGCAUCGAAGAGAGGAUGUGGAAAGGUAAGCCCAAUCGCCGGCGGUCUGGGCCUGGGGAUUCUGGCGGGUGGCGCAUCGAAGAGAGGAUGUGGAAAGGAUCGCGGAGGUGUGCUCACCGGCGGCGGGGAGAGACAGAGGCGGCCGGAAUUGGAGGGAAUCGGUGCUGCAUCGGCGGAGACGGCGGCCGGCUCGGUGUGGCGGUGUGGAGCUGCUCCAGCGACGGGAUGCGGACGGCUACAGGUGGCGAGCGUGCGCCUCGACGUCGUGGUCCUCUUGGCGGCGUCGGUUUGCCCCAGCUACGUCCAGGAGUGGCGCACGGUGGACGGCGGCUCGGCCUUUGCGUGGUGGCGGCGCUCCGGUGGAGCGCAGGCGUCGAGGAUAGGCGGAGGAGAUGCGCGACGGCCUGGGGAACUCCUCGUGGUGGCCACUUGCUCCAGGAACGUCGGGGUGCGGCGAAUCGGGCAGCCGGCGGUGGUGCUCUGCUUCGGGCGGCUCGGACGGCAGCGACGCUUUGCGGACGGGGCGAGGGCGGUGAGCUGCGGGCCGCAGGACGAGGGCCGUGCCUGCCUUGGCGCGCACGCCGAGGAAACCGGCGGUGGCGGCGCGCUGCACAGCAGCGCCGGGAGGCAGCAGAGCUGCUUCCGGGCUGGGCCAGGUCCGAACCGGGCCUCGCAGGCUCGGCCCAAAAGGCGGGGCCCACAAGCAGAGGAAGAAAACGGUGUGGCUUGGGCUGCAAGAGGGUCGGGCUCGCGGGCUAAGCUCGGCCCGUUAGAGAUAGGGUUAGGUUUAUUAUUUUCCGUAAAUCAUUUUCAAUAUACUAGAUAAUGUUUUAAAAGCCC
rnacentral:lncRNA from 1 species